UACAGAGGAGCCAAGCGUUGUCCGGAUUUACUGGGCGUAAAGCGCACGCAGGCGGACGCGCGCGUGGGGUGUGAAAUCUGGCCGCUUAACGGCCAGGCGCCAUCCCAUACGGCGGGUCUGGAGCCUUGCAGAGGGCGGUGGAAUUGCCGGUGUAGUGGUGAAAUGCGCAGAUAUCGGGAGGAACACCAGUGGCGAAGGCGGUACUCUGGGCCGGAACUGACGCUGAGGAGCGAAAGCGUGGGUAGCGAACAGG
rnacentral:rRNA from 1 species